CGACGCCGCGUGGAGGAUGAAGCCUUUCGGGGUGUAAACUCCUUUUCUGCGGGAAGAUAAUGACGGUACCGCAGGAAUAAGCACCGGCUAACUACGUGC
rnacentral:rRNA from 1 species